rnacentral:rRNA from 1 species
UACAGAGGUCCCAAGCGUUGUUCGGAUUCACUGGGCGUAAAGGGUGCGUAGGUGGUGAGGUAAGUCGGAUGUGAAAGCUCGGAGCUCAACUCCGAAAUGGCAUUGGAAACUACCUUGCUCGAGGGUUGGAGGGGGGACUGGAAUGCUUGGUGUAGCAGUGAAAUGCGUAGAUAUCAAGCGGAACACCAGUGGCGAAGGCGAGUCCCUGGACAACUCCUGGCACUGAGGCACGAAAGCUAGGGGAGCAAACAGG